rnacentral:rRNA from 1 species
UACGGAGGGGGCGAGCGUUAUUCGGAAUUAUUGGGCGUAAAGGGCGCGUAGGCGGCGCGAUAAGUCAAAGGUGAAAUCCCUCGGCUCAACUGAGGAACUGCCUUUGAGACUGUCGAGCUCGAGGCCGGGAGGGGGUAGCGGAAUUCCCAGUGUAGCGGUGAAAUGCGUAGAUAUUGGGAGGAACACCAGUGGCGAAGGCGGCUACCUGGACCGGUACCGACGUUCAGGCACGAAAGCGU